GUCAGCUGGGGCCGAGCCUUCCUUCGGGGGUCUCACCUGUCGGAGUUCGGGAAAGUCACCUCAUGGUGCGGUUCAGAGAGGCCCGGGCAGGGCUGGGAGCCUCCGAUGCGGCUCCAACACGGUUAAAUCUAACUGAGGGCAAGCACCCCUUGCGCUGCGGUGUUUCUGUCACGCUCAAACUGCACUUACUUUCCAUCUGCUGUUCCCUUAUUUGACAACUUGCAGUGUUAUCAUCAUCUGCUUCAUCGUUGCCUUCACCACCACCAAGAAGGCCUGGUAGACGCACUGUAUAUUCUCCUUCAGAAAAAAAAAAGGAGGAGAAAGAGUCUGGAGAGAAGAAGGGCUCAGUCAAGGAUAUGUGUAAAAGAACAAACAGAAAGGUGGAUGUCCGCUAGAGAAACACUGAAUGUGUUCUCACGUGCUGAAGUUGCCAAUUUUUUGCUGGAUUUAUAUGACAAAUACAAAUACGGAGGUGAUGUCUGUAAGGAAUCCCAAGUGAAACAAGACACUGAUGGAAGCUCUGUUGAAAGCUGAAGAGGAUGUGUCGGAAACCUCUUCAGCAGCAACUGCUGAAAGAUAUUGUAGAAUAUACCACAGGGAAUCUGGAAGAUGGACUUUGGUACCUAAAAAAGAAGAAAUGCACUAUGUCUGUAUCGAUGACAUAAUGGAGGAAAUAUUUCAGCACUGUUUGGAGACACAGAAUGAGGUCACAGUGGAGCAGAAUGGUUCAGCAAUACAAAAUAAUCUGUGCUACUUCAUCCAUUCCACCAUCUAACACCUCCAGAUUUCUGCUUACCAGAAUUACUAACAAUAGUGCUUGGUUCUGUAGGAGGAUAUAGUUGUUUAACACUUACUCUCAGUGCAGGGAGAGGAGGAAGGAGGUGAUAAUCUGUAUUAAUGGAAACGCUACAAAUUGGAAAACUAGACGUUUUAGUAAGCUUGCUAAUAUAUUCUUAAUUUUAUAUUUGCGUAUAAUGUUCACAUGUACACAGGCUGUUACCAUUCAAUUGUGAGGACUAUGUUUUUGAAAGUUUUAAACUAUUUUAUGAUUUAAGUGAUACGCACAUUCUUUGUAUGAUAAGUUAUUUCUCUUAUGUGUUAUAAAUCAAAGGUAUAAUCUUGUGUAUGUAUUUUAAAAAAAUGCAACUAAUUAAAAGAUUUUUGCUGAGGUCCCUUUAUCUUAAUAUUUUUAAAUUACGUUUUCAG